CGAACGCUGGCGGCGUGCUUAACACAUGCAAGUCGAACGGAAAGGCCUGUCCUUCCUUGUGUUGGACGGGUACUCGAGUGGCGAACGGGUGAGUAACACGUGAGUGAUCUGCCCCCAACUUGGGUAUAAGCCUGGGAAACUGGGUCUAAUUCCCGAUAGGACUGCAGGGUGGUGCCUGUGGUGGAAAACGAUUUUCUAGUGGUUGGGGAUGAGCUCGCGGCCUAUCAGCUUGUUGGUGGGGUAAUGGCCUACCAAGGCGGCGACGGGUAGCCGGCCUGAGAGGGUGGACGGCCACAUUGGGACUGAGAUACGGCCCAGACUCCUACGGGAGGCAGCAGUGGGGAAUAUUGCACAAUGGGCGGAAGCCUGAUGCAGCGACGCCGCGUGGGGGAUGACGGCCUUCGGGUUGUAAACUCCUUUCGACCGCGAGGAAGCCACCUGGUUGGAAGGGUGGUGACGGUAGUGGUAGAAGAAGCACCGGCUAACUAC
rnacentral:rRNA from 1 species